AUACGUAGGGGGCGAGCGUUGUCCGGAAUGAUUGGGCGUAAAGGGCGCGUAGGCGGCUUUGCAAGUCAGUAGUGGAAGUCCAUUUUUCAAGGAUGGAAGUGCUACAGAAACUGCGGAGCUUGAGUGCAGGAGAGGUUAUCGGAAUUCCCGGUGUAGCGGUGAAAUGCGUAGAGAUCGGGAGGAACACCAGUGGCGAAGGCGGGUAACUGGACUGCAACUGACGCUGAGGCGCGAAAGCGUGGGGAGCGAACAGGAUUAGAUACCCUGGUAGUCCACGCUGUAAACGAUGAUUACUAGGUGUAGGGGGUAUCGACUCCCUCUGUGCCGCAGUUAACGCAGUAAGUAAUCCACCUGGGGAGUACGGUCGCAAGAUUAAAACUCAAAUGAAUUGACGGGG
rnacentral:rRNA from 1 species